CCUCAAAAAGACCAAGAGCAUUCGUUUUUGUUUUCAUCUUCAAACAAAGUCUCCGCUACCUAGCCCUGGCUGGCUCUGAACUUACCAUGUACACCAGGCUGCCCUCAAAUUUGCAGCAAUCUUCUGGCCUCGGCUUCCCGAAUGCUUGGCAUAUAGAUCCAACUCUCUGAGGAUGACUGUACCCAAAGGGCGGCACAAUGGAGCACCUACCUAUACAAGUGACUCAGCGAAUUGUGGUGAAUGCUUAUACAAGAGCUAACAAGCUGUGGGUCAAGAACUAUCAGAGCCCAUCAUUACAGAUGAG